ACGGAAGGCAGCAGUGGGGAAUAUUGCACAAUGGGCGCAAGCCUGAUGCAGCGAUGCCGCGUGAGGGAAGAAGGUUUUCGGAUUGUAAACCUCUGUCCUCAGGGACGAUAAUGACGGUACCUGAGGAGGAAGCUCCGGCUAACUACGUGCCAGCAGCCGCGGUAAUACGUAGGGAGCGAGCGUUGUCCGGAAUUACUGGGUGUAAAGGGUGCGUAGGCGGGGCGGCAAGUCAGAUGUGAAAUGUAUGGGCUCAACCCAUGAACUGCAUUUGAAACUGUUGCUCUUGAGUGAGGUAGAGGUAAGCGGAAUUCCUAGUGUAGCGGUGAAAUGCGUAGAUAUUAGGAGGAACACCAGUGGCGAAGGCGGCUUACUGGACUGUAACUGACGUUGAGGCUCGAAAGCGUGGGGAGCAAACAGGAUUAGAUACCCUGGUA
rnacentral:rRNA from 1 species